rnacentral:rRNA from 1 species
UACGUAGGGUGCAAGCGUUAAUCGGAAUUACUGGGCGUAAAGCGUGCGCAGGCGGUGGUGUAAGCCAGAUGUGAAAUCCCCGGGCUCAACCUGGGAACUGCAUUUGUGACUGCAUCGCUGGAGUGCGGCAGAGGGGGAUGGAAUUCCGCGUGUAGCAGUGAAAUGCGUAGAUAUGCGGAGGAACACCGAUGGCGAAGGCAAUCCCCUGGGCCUGCACUGACGCUCAUGCACGAAAGCGUGGGGAGCAAACAGG